rnacentral:rRNA from 1 species
UGGGGAAUAUUGGACAAUGGGGGAAACCCUGAUCCAGCAAUGCCGCGUGUGUGAAGAAGGCCUGCGGGUUGUAAAGCACUUUCGUUGGGGAGGAAAGACUCGAUAUUAAUACCAUCGAGGGAUGACGCUACCCAAAUAAGAAGCACCGGCUAACUCUGUGCCAGCAGCCGCGGUAAUACAGAGGGUGCAAGCGUUAAUCGGAAUUACUGGGCGUAAAGCGUGCGUAGGUGGAUAAGUGUGUUGGCUGUGAAAGCCCCGAGCUCAACUUGGGAGGGUCAGCCAAAACUGCUUGUCUAGAGUAUGGUAGAGGAAAGUGGAAUUUCCGGUGUAGCGGUGAAAUGCGUAGAUAUCGGAAGGAACAUCAGUGGCGAAGGCGACUUUCUGGACCAAUACUGACACU